rnacentral:lncRNA from 1 species
AUCAAGGGGAUGUUGAGAAAAAUGAGUACUUAAUCGCGGAUGUCUUGCUGAGAUGAUGUAUAGAUGGCCUCAGGGCUCUUGACUCUUUGGAGCACAAAGUAGACCAAUUUUAGCCCAAUUAAACAGUGGGGAAGCGCUCAGAGUAUCUGUAUCCGACUGUUGAGAAGUCAUUGAAAAGGCACAAUGGAAUUACUCCACACCAAAACUUUGGUCAUAAUACACGAGGGCCAGACGAGCUGCGUUUUGGAAGGCGCCAGGGACGGUGGGAUCAAAAGAGAAGGUCCACUGGCAUCUCCUUCGGCUUGCCAUCUGGUGUCAUUUGAUUAUGUGGGAG